UGGUCCCACGCGCUAACCUUAUCUCUUUCUCUUUGACUUCUCACGGCAAUCCUUCCCUUGAGCCUGGCAGCGUGGAGCAGGCGCCAAUUCCUCUUCUUUGCCGAUGCAAGCAAGGCGGCGGCGAGCGGCGCGACAGCACGGCCGUGAGCGGCGAGCAAGGCAGCGGCGUGACGACGUGGCCGUGAGGAGCGAGUGAGGCAGCGGCCAGCGGCGCGACAAGCCGAUGACGAGGCCCUGAGCAGUGAGUAGGGCUGCGGCGUGGCUGCUGCCAUGAGUGGCAAGCGGGGCGCGGCAUAGCAGCACUCGUGAGCAGGCAUAGAAGGCAGUCUGCAGGCUGCAGCAGGGCCAGGCUGGGAAUCGCUGCUGCGUGCUACCUACCUGACGCUACUGCUUUUUGCCAAGUUGCUAUUGCUACAAUGUAAAUUCCAUUUCCUGCUAUCUGCUACGUAUUUGUGAUUGAAAUUCCUACGAUGAUCUAUAAAUGGAAUGCGUGUUAUACUUGAAAUUGCACGGGAAUUGAAUAAUUUGCACUGAAAGAUUUGAGACUUGAUAUAGCGGAGCUGUAAAUCCCCUCAAGUGUUAAGAGAAAACAAUUUUAGUUUACAUGCGGACAGUGGUGUAAAGUGAUUUCUUAUAAUCUACUGUUUUAUUUGAGAUUGACUAUAUAAUGC
rnacentral:lncRNA from 1 species